rnacentral:lncRNA from 1 species
UAUAGAUGCAAAGGAUUUUUAGUUAGACCCGAAGUCUUCAAACCAACAGUUGUUAGCUCUCAGAGCAAAUUAUCACAAAAAAAGUUUCUAAAGUUUUUUUUCAAUUCAAGUGUGAAUUACAGAAAAGUUAAAAAAUGAGUGAAGUCCGCAGCUUGAUGUCCACCUUUGCCAUUUUGGCUGUGCUAUUGAUUCUUCUGUGGCUGUUGUAUGCCAUCUUUUAAGCUGGAAAUAAAUCAAAACAAAAACAACAACAGCGAUCACAGGUGUCUUACUUGCGAUCGUAAAUUAUAAGGAUAUGGCGUGUCUAGCAUUAGAAAAGCUUUAAAAAUCAAUCAACAACAAAAACCAACACAACAACAGCAACAACAUGAAUGAAGCCAAGAGUCUGUUCACCACUUUCCUCAUCCUGGUCUUCCUGUUGGGUCUGCUGUGGGCUUUCUAUGAAGCCGUUUUCUAAAUCACUAACGCGUUAUUAUUAACAACAACAAUAAUAGCAGCAUCUAGACAUGAUUU